GUGAAUAGACGACGGCUGGCACGAAGCUGCAGCCGUCGUCAUGGAAAUCAAAUAAACAAGACGGCCCGCACAAAGGCUGCGGCCGGCUGAGAUAGGAUAAAAUAAUGAGAUAAUAAAUAAUAAAAUAAAAUAUAAAAUAUCGUGAAAAUUUUCAUGAUGACGGCUGCAGCUUCAUGCCAGCCGUCGUCUAUUCAC